GAGUUUUGUAGAGGGAGGUAGAAUUCUUAGGUGUAGCGGUGAAAUGCGUAGAUAUCUAGAGGAAUACCUGUGGCGAAAGCGACCUCCUGGACAAAAACUGACGCUGAGGUGCGAAAGCGUGGGGAGCAAACAGGAUUAGAUACCCUGGUAGUCCAUGCUGUAAACGAUGUCGACUUGGAGGUUGUUUCCUUGAGAAGUGGCUUCCGAAGCUAACGCAUUAAGUCGACCGCCUGGGGAGUACGGCCGCAAGGCUAAAACUCAAAUGAAUUGACGGGGGCCCGCACAAGCGGUGGAGCAUGUGGUUUAAUUCGAUGCAACGCGAAGAACCUUACCUGGUCUUGACAUCCAUAAAAUUUUUUAGAGAUAAAAAAGUGCCUUUACCGGAAUUAUGAGACAGGUGCUGCAUGGCUGUCGUCAGCUCGUGUUGUGAAAUGUUGGGUUAAGUCCCGCAACGAGCGCAACCCUUGUUCUCUGUUGCCAUCAGGUUAUGCUGGGAACUCAGAGGAGACUGCCGGUUAUAAGCUGGAGGAAGUUGGAGACGACGUCAAGUCAUCAUGGCCCUUACGACCAGGGCUACACACGUGCUACAAUGGCAUAUACAAAGAGAAGCAAAUCUGCGAAGACAAGCAAAACUCAUAAAGUAUGUCUUAGUUCGGACUGGAGUCUGCAACUCGACUCCACGAAGUCGGAAUCGCUAGUAAUCGUGGAUCAGAAUGCCACGGUGAAUACGUUCCCGGGCCUUGCACUCACCGCCCGUC
rnacentral:rRNA from 1 species